rnacentral:rRNA from 1 species
AACGCUGGCGGCGUUGCUUAACACAUGCAAGUUCAACGAAUGAAACCUAGCUUUGCUAGGUGGAUUAUUGGCGAACGGGUUGAGUAAUACGUUGAGUCGACCUACCUUUUGACUCUGGGAUAAGCCUGGGAAACUGGGUCUAAUACCGGAUACGACCAAUCUCCGCAUGGGGUGUUUGGUGGAAAGCGUUAUGGAGUGGUUUUAGAUGGGCUCACGGCCUAUCAGCUUGUUGGUGAGGUAAUGGCUUACCAAGGCGACGACGGGUAGCCGGCCUGAGAGGGUGACCGGCCACACUGGGACUGAGACACGGCCCAGACUCCUACGGGAGGCAGCAGUGGGGAAUAUUGCACAAUGGGCGCAAGCCUGAUGCAGCGACGCCGCGUGAGGGAUGACGGCCUUCGGGUUGUAAACCUCUGUUAGCAUCGAAGAAGCGAAAGUGACGGUAGGUGCAGAGAAAGCGCCGGCUAACUACGUGCCAGCAGCCGCGGUAAUACGUAGGGCGCGAGCGUUGUCCGGAAUUAUUGGGCGUAAAGAGCUUGUAGGGCGGUUGGUCGCGUCUGCUGUGAAAGGCUGGGGCUUAACCCUGGUUUUGCAGUGGGUACGGGCUAACUAGAGUGCAGUAGGGGAGACUGGAAUUCCUGGUGUAGCGGUGGAGUGCGCAGAUAUCAGGAGGAACACCGAUGGCGAAGGCAGGUCUCUGGGCUGUAACUGACGCUGAGAAGCGAAAGCAUGGGGAGCGAACAGGAUUAGAUACCCUGGUAGUCCAUGCCGUAAACGUUGGGCACUAGGUGUGGGGGACAUUCCACGUUUUCCGCGCCGUAGCUAACGCAUUAAGUGCCCCGCCUGGGGAGUACGGCCGCAAGGCUAAAACUCAAAGAAAUUGACGGGGGCCCGCACAAGCGGCGGAGCAUGCGGAUUAAUUCGAUGCAACGCGAAGAACCUUACCAAGGCUUGACAUAUACUGGACUGCGUCAGAGAUGGCGUUUCCCUUCGGGGCUGGUAUACAGGUGGUGCAUGGUUGUCGUCAGCUCGUGUCGUGAGAUGUUGGGUUAAGUCCCGCAACGAGCGCAACCCUCGUUCUAUGUUGCCAGCACGUGAUGGUGGGGACUCAUAGGAGACUGCCGGGGUCAACUCGGAGGAAGGUGGGGAUGACGUCAAAUCAUCAUGCCCCUUAUGUCUUGGGCUUCACGCAUGCUACAAUGGCCGGUACAGAGGGUUGCGAUACUGUGAGGUGGAGCUAAUCCCUAAAAGCCGGUCUCAGUUCGGAUUGGGGUCUGCAACUCGACCCCAUGAAGUCGGAGUCGCUAGUAAUCGCAGAUCAGCAACGCUGCGGUGAAUACGUUCCCGGGCCUUGUACACACCGCCCGUC